rnacentral:rRNA from 1 species
GUCCCGGCCUGCCCAGUGAUUCAUUUUAACGGCCGCGGUAUCAUGACCGUGCAAAGGUAGCGUAAUCACUUGUCUUUUAAAUAAAGACCUGUAUGAAAGGCAAAACGAAAGCUCAGCUGUCUCUUUAAUCUAAUCAGUGAAAUUAAUCCCUCCGUGCAGAAGCGGAGAUAGCCAUAUAAGACGAGAAGACCCUAUGGAGCUUUAAAUGUAAAACUAAUUAUAUAUUAACACCGGCCAACAGGUAAAAAAUAAAAACGUAUAAUAUAAUUUAAAUUUUCGGUUGGGGCGACCACGGAAGAAAAGACAUCCUCCGAGAUAAACAAUUUAGAACAACACUUCAAAAAUUAAGACACUUGUUAUAAAUGAUCCACUAAGUGACCAACGAACCAAGUUACCCUAGGGAUAACAGCGCAAUCCUUUCUAAGAGUUCCUAUCGACGAAUGGGUUUACGACCUCGAUGUUGGAUCAGGACACCCAAAUGGUGCAGCCGCUAUUAAAGGUUCGUUUGUUCAACGAUUAAAGUCCUACGUGAUCUGAUUCAGACCGGA